ACUAACACCGAAAGAAAAAUGAAAGUUACUGAAAAUAAAAAACUUUAUUGCAGUACCUACAUACACUUUCUACAUCUAAUUUUGUUUAUUGAUCACAUUCAUUUACUUGAAAAAGUAUCAGGCCUAUGAAUCGUCGUCUGGAAACAGCUAACCACACACCAACCUUCAUUGCGUGUGAUGGUGUUUCUUCAAAAGCCCUAACAGAUGAAACCAGGCUUCAUCAGAAAAGAACGACAAAUCGAGAAUCCCGUUAUCGUCCAUAUCAGCUUGAAACCAACUACAAUACCCAACGCGGCAAGGAAAAUCAGCUGGUUGCAGCUCCUGAACCAACAAAAUCUUGUAUGGAUGCAUAUGUAACUUCUCUUUUACGAUUUUCUGACAUGGGCUGUAUGGUACUCCGGACAGUAAAGAUUUUUGACAAA